AUAUUGAGUGGUGUGCGAUACUCAAGAUUUCUUCUCGUAACUCCUUUCCUACAGGUACGGUUAUCCUUCCGUUCAGUAGGAGGGUUCUUUCAUCACCCAAAUGAUAACCACUAUCAUAUCUUCCGCAUGAUUCUUCAAGUUCUUUUAUAAUCUUCUUUAGCUUCACAUCUUCCUUCUGCUCUUCUAGAAUUCUUUGCAGGAGGUUUGCUUGAUUCACUGCUC
rnacentral:lncRNA from 1 species